rnacentral:lncRNA from 1 species
GUGAAGAGCACGCUGGCUGAGCUGGCGAGAGGGGUGGGGGCGUCCUGGGGCUGCUUCUGCUCUGAUGAAGGCACCCACUGUCACUGUCCCGGCCCUCGCUGAGUGUUCCCGGACCCGUGGGCCCGCGUCUGUGCCAGGCCUUGGGGAGCUCCAGCCUCGGAGCCUCUUCCCGUUCUCAGACCUCAGUGCGAGGAGGAAAUCGGGUGCCUAGUGGGGCACUACCUGUCUGGAAGUAUUUUACACGAAGUUUAAGCCUUGAGAUUUCCUGGAGCAGGACCUCUGAAGUCACCAUCACAAAUGGCAGGCCCACACAAGGACUGAUUUACUUCUGACUCACCCAUGGCCUUCAGGCUUAGAGUUGGGGCCUUGUCGGAUUCCUCUCUCUUACCAACUCUGGGCUUUGACUCUGUUGUCCCUAAUGCCAUGCUGAUAAAUAAUUAAUAACUGGCUCUUCAUAAAAAAAAACAGUUUUGAUCUGUAGCACCUGCCAAUUCCCAUGGUGUAAACACUCCUGCCAUGGCUGACUUCAAGUUACCAACACAACAUCACUGAGUGUGGGAUUGGAAAAAGAUGCCCAUGGCUGGCUCUUAAGAGUCCUCUGAGCCUUGCUGGUUCUCCCUCACCUGCCAUUGAGGGGGCUGAUGGGUGCAACAGUCAUUCCUGAGGCUGCAAAGUUCUUUAAAGCAGAAGCAGCUGACUCUUGCUUAUGUUUUGCAGUACUUGCUGGGCUCUCAACUCCUCCAAGGUUUUGGCCUGGUAGUGCAUUCUUUGCUACCUGAUUUGCUCUUUUCUGCUUUAAAGAAGAUUGGAAAAAAAUUUUUUUUUUGAGACAGGGUCUCACUCUGUCACCUAGG